AUUUCGUAAAUGUACUCAUUAGCAACACGAGAAAACUUGUAGAGCGCCAUGAAAACUUUGGCUAUAUUGGUAUUCUUGAUGGUGGCAGCAUAUGCAGUGACAGCCUCGCCUCACGAUCGUGAGCGCAAGGAACGCGGUGAAUCUGAGUUCGGAAGGCACCAUGGCAGGCACCACGGACACCACCACCGUUUUAAUCACACCAGGAGUGGAAAUGAAACGUCCUCUACGGCGCAGCCCCAAGUGACGACUGUGAGCGCCGAAGAAACCACAAAUUCAACAACUCAGGACAAUGCAAAUGGAACGGUCUCAAACAGCGCUCCCACGAUGUCUACUACAUGAUGUCCGCGACAGGAUGCUUGGGCGAGCUAUGAAGCGAUGUGCUUCCCAGUCAGUUAGCCAAAAAGGAAAUGUUAUGUUCUUGAAAGGAUUCUAUUCUAUCCAGUCAAAAUGAGAUAAUAAAGAGCCUGGGAAUUCUU